rnacentral:tRNA from 1 species
GGGGGUAUGGCUCAGUGGUUGAAAACAGGCUUAGCAUGCAUGAGAUCCCGGGUUCAAUCCCCAGUACCUCCA